UACAGAGGGUGCAAACGUUGUUCGGAAUUACUGGGCGUAAAGCGCGUGUAGGCGGCUUUGCAAGUCGGGUGUGAAAGCCCUCAGCUCAACUGAGGAAGUGCGCCCGAAACUGCAGAGCUUGAGUACCGGAGAGGAUGGUGGAAUUCCCCAAGUAGAGGUGAAAUUCGUAGAUAUGGGGAGGAACACCGGUGGCGAAGGCGACCAUCUGGACGGAUACUGACGCUGAGACGCGAAAGCGUGGGUAGCAAACAGG
rnacentral:rRNA from 1 species